rnacentral:rRNA from 1 species
GUUACCGUUGUUUUUUUUUCCUCCGUGACCNACCAUGCCCCUUGACUCGUGGGAUAAGCGCUUGGAAACGGCGUCUAAUACUGGAUACGAACAAUAAUCGCAUGGUUACUUGUUGGAAAGAUUUUUCGGUUGGGGAUGGGCUCGCGGCCUAUCAGCUUGUUGGUGAGGUAAUGGCUCACCAAGGCGUCGACGGGUAGCCGGCCUGAGAGGGUGACCGGCCACACUGGGACUGAGACACGGCCCAGACUCCUACGGGAGGCAGCAGUGGGGAAUAUUGCACAAUGGGCGCAAGCCUGAUGCAGCAACGCCGCGUGAGGGAUGACGGCCUUCGGGUUGUAAACCUCUUUUAGCAGGGAAGAAGCGAGAGUGACGGUACCUGCAGAAAAAGCACCGGCUAACUACGUGCCAGCAGCCGCGGUAAUACGUAGGGUGCAAGCGUUAUCCGGAAUUAUUGGGCGUAAAGAGCUCGUAGGCGGUUUGUCGCGUCUGCUGUGAAAUCUGGGGGCUCAACCCCCAGCCUGCAGUGGGUACGGGCAGACUAGAGUGCGGUAGGGGAGAUUGGAAUUCCUGGUGUAGCGGUGGAAUGCGCAGAUAUCAGGAGGAACACCGAUGGCGAAGGCAGAUCUCUGGGCCGUAACUGACGCUGAGGAGCGAAAGGGUGGGGAGCAAACAGGCUUAGAUACCCUGGUAGUCCACCCCGUAAACGUUGGGAAACUAGUUGUGGGGUCCAUUCCACGGAUUCCGUGACGCAGCUAACGCAUUAAGUUCCCCGCCUGGGGAGUACGGCC